rnacentral:tRNA from 2 species
AUUAAAUUGGCAGAUUAGUGUUUUGAUUUUAGAAAUCAAUUAAGUGUAUUUUUACAUAUUUAAUA